rnacentral:rRNA from 1 species
UACGAAGGGGGCUAGCGUUGCUCGGAAUUACUGGGCGUAAAGGGCGCGUAGGCGGAUAGUUUAGUCAGAGGUGAAAGCCCAGGGCUCAACCUUGGAACUGCCUUUGAUACUGGCUAUCUUGAGUUCGGGAGAGGUGAGUGGAAUGCCGAGUGUAGAGGUGAAAUUCGUAGAUAUUCGGCGGAACACCAGUGGCGAAGGCGACUCACUGGCCCGAUACUGACGCUGAGGAGCGAAAGCGUGGGGAGCGAACAGG